rnacentral:rRNA from 1 species
UACGGAGGGGGCUAGCGUUGUUCGGAAUUACUGGGCGUAAAGCGCGCGUAGGCGGACCUGCAAGUCGGGGGUGAAAGCCCGAGGCUCAACCUCGGAACUGCCUUCGAUACUGCGGGCCUCGAGUCCGGGAGAGGUGAGUGGAACUGCGAGUGUAGAGGUGAAAUUCGUAGAUAUUCGCAAGAACACCAGUGGCGAAGGCGGCUCACUGGUCCGGUACUGACGCUGAGACGCGAAAGCGUGGGGAGCGAACAGG